UACGUAGGGGGGCAAGCGUUGUCCGGAUUUAUUGGGCGUAAAGAGCGUGUAAGCGGCCUGGUAGGUCAGCUGUGAAAACUCGAGGCUCAACCUCGAGACGUCGGUUGAAACCACUUGGCUAGAGUCCGGAAGAGGAGAGCGGAAUUCCCGGUGUAGCGGUGAAAUGCGCAGAUAUCGGGAAGAACACCCGUGGCGAAGGCGGCUCUCUGGGACGGUACUGACGCUGAGACGCGAAAGCGUGGGGAGCGAACAGG
rnacentral:rRNA from 1 species